UACGUAGGGUGCAAGCGUUGUCCGGAAUUAUUGGGCGUAAAGAGCUCGUAGGCGGUCUGUUGCGUCGGCUGUGAAAACCCGGGGCUCAACUCCGGGCCUGCAGCCGAUACGGGCAGACUAGAGUUCGGCAGGGGAGACUGGAAUUCCUGGUGUAGCGGUGAAAUGCGCAGAUAUCAGGAGGAACACCCGGUGGCGAAGGCGGGGUCUCUGGGGCCGAUACUGACGCUGGAGGUGCGAAAGCCGUGGGGAGCAA
rnacentral:rRNA from 1 species